AUUGAACGCUGGCGGCAGGCCUAACACAUGCAAGUCGAGCGAGCGGCGGACGGGUGAGUAAUGUAUGGGGAUCUGCCCGAUAGAGGGGGAUAACUACUGGAAACGGUUGCUAAUACCGCAUACUAUCGGCUGAACCCAGAUGGGAUUAGCGAGUUGGUGGGGUAAAGGCUAACCUAGGCGCCGAUCACUAGCUGGUCUGAGAGGAUGAUCAGCCACACUGGGACGGAGACACGGCCCAGACUCCGACGGGAGGCACGAGUGGGGAAUAUUGCACACUGGGCGAAAGCCUGAUGCAGCCAUGCCGCGUGUAUGAAGAAGGCCUUAGGGUUGUAAAGUACUUUCAGCGGGGAGGCGUUACCCGCAGAAGAAGCACCGGCUAACUCCGUGCCAGCAGCCGCGGUAAUAC
rnacentral:rRNA from 1 species